GCCUUAGUAGUAUAAAAAUUACAUUGGUCUUGUAAACCAAAAAAGGAGUUCUAACCUCCCUAAGACA
rnacentral:tRNA from 1 species